rnacentral:rRNA from 1 species
AGCGAACGCUGGCGGCAGGCCUAACACAUGCAAGUCGAACGAACCUUUCGGGGUUAGUGGCGGACGGGUGAGUAACACGUGGGAACGUGCCCUUAGGUUCGGAAUAACUCAGGGAAACUUGUGCUAAUACCGAAUGUGCCCUUCGGGGGUAAGAUUGAUCGCCUUUUGAGCGGCCCGCGUCUGAUUAGCUAGUUGGUUGGGGUAAUGGAUCACCAAGGCGGGUAGCAGUAGCUGGUCGGGGAGGAUGAUCAGCCACAUUGGGACUGGGACACGGCCCAAACGCACGGGAGGGGGGGGGAUGGGGGAGCAAGGGGAGGGGGCCAAAGGCAGCCACGCCCAGCGCGGGAUAAAGGUGUAGGUGUUGUGAAUGGAAUUUGCUUGCGACGGGGCGGGAAUGAAGGUAACGGGUAAAAAAGCCCCCGCUAACUUCGUG